rnacentral:rRNA from 1 species
AGGGAAUAUUGGACAAUGGGCGAAAGCCUGAUCCAGCAACGCCGCGUGUGCGAUGACGGCCUUCGGGUUGUAAGCACUUUUAGAGGAGAUGAGAAAGGACAGUAUCCUCUGAAUAAGCCUCGGCGAACUACGUGCCAGCAGCCGCGGUAAAACGUAGGAGGCUAGCGUUAUCCGGAUUUAUUGGGCGUAAAGCGCGUGCAGGCGGUUUAUCAAGUUGGAUGUGAAAGCUCCUGGCUUAACUGGGAGAGGUCGUUCAAAACUGAUAGACUAGAGAAUGGUAGAGGGAGGUGGAAUUCCGGGUGUAGUGGUGAAAUGCGUAGAUAUCCGGAGGAACACCAGUGGCGAAAGCGGCCUCCUGGGCCAUUUCUGACGCUAAGACGCGAAAGCUAGGGUAGCAAACGG